rnacentral:rRNA from 1 species
GUCAAGUCAUCAUGCCCCUUAUGUCCAGGGCUUCACGCAUGCUACAAUGGCCGGUACAAAGGGCUGCGAAAUCGCAAGAUGGAGCGAAUCCCAAAAAGCCGGUCUCAGUUCGGAUUGGGGUCUGCAACUCGACCCCAUGAAGUCGGAGUCGCUAGUAAUCGCAGAUCAGCAACGCUGCGGUGAAUACGUUCCCGGGCCUU